UCACUCAGGUAAUUCGGCAAUGAAUCUGGUUU
rnacentral:piRNA from 1 species